rnacentral:rRNA from 1 species
UACGUAGGCAGCGAGCGUUGUUCGGAGUUAUUGGGCGUAAAGGGCGCGUAGGCGGCCUGGCAAGUGGAUGGUGAAAUCCCUCGGCUUAACCGAGGAACUGCCAUCCAGACUGCUUGGCUUGAGACCGGGAGAGGUGAGUGGAAUUCCCAGUGUAGCGGUGAAAUGCGUAGAUAUUGGGAGGAACACCAGUGGCGAAGGCGGCUCACUGGACCGGUACUGACGCUGAGGCGCGAAAGCGUGGGGAGCAAACGGGG